rnacentral:rRNA from 1 species
UGGGGAAUUUUGGACAAUGGGCGCAAGCCUGAUCCAGCCAUGCCGCGUGCGGGAAGAAGGCCUUCGGGUUGUAAACCGCUUUUGUCAGGGAAGAAAUCUUCUGAGUUAAUACCUCAGGAGGAUGACGGUACCUGAAGAAUAAGCACCGGCUAACUACGUGCCAGCAGCCGCGGUAAUACGUAGGGUGCAAGCGUUAAUCGGAAUUACUGGGCGUAAAGCGUGCGCAGGCGGUUUUGUAAGACAGAGGUGAAAUCCCCGGGCUCAACCUGGGAACUGCCUUUGUGACUGCAAGGCUUGAGUGCGGCAGAGGGGGGAUGGAAUUCCGCGUGUAGCAGUGAAAUGCAUAGAUAUGCGGAGGAACACCGAUGGCGAAGGCAAUCCCCUGGGCCUGCACUGACGCUCAUGCACGAAAGCGUGGGGAGCAAACAGGAUUAGAUACCCUGGUAGUCCACGCCCUAAAACGAUGUCAACUGGUUGUUGGGAAGGUUCCUUCUCAGUAACGUAGCUAACGCGUGAAGUUGACCGCCUGGGGAGUACGGCCGCAAGGUUAAAACUCAAAUGAAUUGACGGGGUCAUAGCUGUUUCCUG